GACUCGCGUGGCUACACAAUCACUGUCCGCGCAGUAGCGCCAAAAACUUGUCAACUCACAUGGGUCCGUAAAGGGCUAGACUGGCAUACCGUCUGAACCCUGGGAUGCUAUGGGACGUCUUUUUUUGACGGGUUCUAGACACUUGAGAUCAUCGGUCCCGGAAGGGCCGGAUGGCAAACUCCGGGCUACCGCCACCCUGUCAAUAGCACCCAGAAGCGGGGCUGAGUGAUAACCACGUUCUGACAGAGGCGCUGCUGUGAUGGGGCCGGUGGAAGCGACCUCUUGCGUCAUCAGCCUGCGCUGCCUGACUGUGGAGACUAGGGUUUGUGCUGGGAGAUGAGGUGUAAGGAGUCGCUUAGUGAUGAGUUCUUUCGCUGUGAAUUCUGACCAAAGGGUAGUCUGCACCCAGAGGCUGAAUGUACCCGGAUUCCUGACGGCUCAAUAGAUUUAUCUGCCUACGUGCACAUUCUGUAAAACAGGAUAUUGAAUCAGUUCUCAACAAUGGGACGAACCUACAUUGUAGAUGAGACUGUUGGCCAGUAUCUUUCAAACAUCAAUCUCCCAGGAAAAUCUUUUGUUUCUGGUCUUUUAAUAGGACAGAGUUCUUCACAGAAGGAUUAUGUGAUUCUUGCCACAAGAACACCACCCAAAGAGGAACAAAAUGAGAAUCUCAAACAUCCUAAAACUAAGCUGGAUAGUUUGGAUGAAGAAUGGGCUACAGAACAUGCCCUCCAGGUAUCCAAAAUGCUACCUGGGGGACUUUUAGUUCUUGGAGUAUUUAUUAUCACAACUUUAGAAUUGGCAGAUGACCUUCAAAAUGCCCUACGCAGACUAAUAUAUGCUGUGGAAAAGUGUAUGGACAGAAAAAGACUGUGGAAUUUCACAGAGGAGGAAGUUUCAGAACGAGUGAUUCUUCACAUUUGCUCUUCUACUAAAAAAAUAUCUUGUCGAACUUACGAUGUCCGUGAUCCAAAGAGUUCACCAAGACCUGCAGAUUGGAAGUAUCAGAAUAGACUGUCUACCUCAUGGCUUUCUCUUGAGUGUACAGUUCAUAUUGAUAUUCACAUCCCACUUUCUACAACUUCUGUCAGCUAUACUCUGGAGAAAAUUACAAAGAAUGGACUUACACGCUGGGCCAAGAAAAUUGAAAAUGGUGUUUAUUUUAUUAAUGGACAAGUUAAGGAUGGAGAUUGUGACUUAUUAGAAGGACAAAAAAAAUCUAAAGGACAUACUCAAGCACCUAAUCAUUCUUUUGAUGUCCGAGUGCUAACACAGUUGAAUGGACCUAUUGUUGAAAGGCUCCUGAAUUCAGACCACAGAUCCACAGCCACAGUGCAAAUCUGCAGCGGUUCUGUAAAUCUGAAGGGUGAUGUGAAAUGCAGAGCUUACAUUCAUAGCAAUAAACCCAAAGUUAAAGAUGCUGUGCAGGCAAUGAAGAGAGAUAUAUUGAAUACAGUUGCUGAUCGCUGUGAAAUACUAUUUGACGAUCUACAUUUGAAUGAAGUUCCAGAAAAACAAGUUAUAAAUUCUGAAAAAGAAUUCCACAUCCUCCCUCACCGAGUUUUUGUACCCAUUCCUGGAUCCACUGUAAUGUUAUGUGAUUAUAAAUUUGGUGAUGAAUCAGCUGAAGAAAUCAAAGACCAUUUUAUAGAGAUGUUAGAUCAGGUGAUUCAAAUAGAACAUUUGGAAAUUGUAGAGGAAAUAAACACAGCUUGUAUGAGUUCCACCCUGAACAGUGAGGCUUCAUUGAACAACACAGAAGAUGAACAGCCAGAGCAACCAAUUAAAACUACAGUAAUGUUGAAAAUUCAGCAAAACAUAGAUCAAGAUGCAGCAAUGUCAGUUUUGGGGUGACAGCUUUUUUCCUGGCUUGCUGACCAUCACUUUCUGAUUGUGUUCUCACAUGACAGAAGAAAAAUAAGCUCCUUGGCAUCUCUUAUUGAUCUCAUAGCUAAGAGUAUACCUUGAAUCUCGGAGAAGACAUAGGAAUCAGACUUUUGAGAAAUUCUGAACUUUUGAGACUUUCAGGUCCGUGCCAUGACCCAAAGGUCAGUGGUGGAAGCUAGAAAGUAGCAGAGUGAAGGAGCUGUGCUGGGAGGUUGAGGGUUCUACACUGGAGCCAAAAAGUCACACUCACAACAAAGACCAGCACUGUUCUGAAAAGCACCACAGCCAUCCUCAGUGACACGGAGGCCCUGAGCUCCUCCGAUGACAAGCACAGUCAAGUACAUGCCAGUAAGCAGCAUGAUGAGUUCAUCCUGGAGUCCAAGUGACACGUGUCUUCUCCUCCAGAGCCAGGAAGCAAUGCUCGAUGUGAGGAUCAGAGCUUCUCCAGAAGAACCUAACGGCUCAAACAGCAACACAUACGAGAACCCACAAUGCCUCAAUGCCUCAACGCACAGCUUCUCCUUUUCCAAGUCUCUAUUUAUGCUGGCAACUUUCCUCAGGUGGGACAUCUACGUUCAGCACCAUGGUGAUUUAGUCCCUCUGGCCUUAAGUUGACUGCCAGUUUUUAAUCCAUAGCAGUACACAAAAAGUUUAAAAUUGGAAUAAAAAUUAACAGUAAUUUUACCAUAGACAUUGCUGAUAUAUUGAAUUGCAACAACGAAUAUGUAUUACUUUUGAAAUAUCUACAAAAUGUAAUAGACUGCAAGAAUUAAAAUGGCUGAGUAGUAAUCAGCAACAAAAUUCAGCAAAAUCAGAAUCCAGAUACCUAAAAAUAGCAACUUCGUGAAGAACAAAAAGAAUUAAAUCUCCAGGAACUGGAAAAGAAUUGAUGGGAAAAUUAAAAGCUAUGCAGAAAUUUCAGAAAUGAACCUCAGAACAGAGAAAAGAACAAAGAAUUCUCGAAGGUUACCCAUGCUCCCAGUGAGGGGAACCUGUACCUUCAGAAGCAAGUAUUAUGUUGCAGGGAUAAGAAAGUAAGUACAGACUUCCGGGAGACCAUGGUGGACAGAUAGCAGCAGCUACAGAGGCUCUCUGAAAGACCCAGCUUAGAAUUCAGGAAUGGUGCUGAGUAAGGAAUCAUAAGCAAGAGAAGAUAUGCCCCGGUGACCCAAGAACGAACUGGGCUGAGAGAAACCAACUGGGAAUGCAAUCCUGGUGCUAUAACAGGAACAGAUAAAGCCUCAGUGUGGAAGCUGGAGCCCGAGCCAUUGGAAGCCACGAUUUGGGUUUCCCGCCACCGCGGCUACGUCUGCAUCGGCUCGGCAGGGAGACAGAUGCACAGAAGCUCUGAGAACAGGAAUCGGUGAAUGGAGUUGAGAGCAGGACAGGCGGGGAGCCGUGCAUCCACCUCCAGUGAGUGAGGGAAAACUGGGACUCUCCCACGGUCUAGGAGACUCCAACAGAGGACAUUCUGGGACCGGGCAGACUUGCGGGAACAGGGCGCUGCAGUGACUUCAGUCACCAAUUGGUGAGCAGUGCCUAGCCCACGUGACACCGCUGGCUGAGACCCAGUAGGCUAGCACAGCCCAGAUCCCAGCGCCUGAAGGUGACCUAGAGGGGCGGGCCCUGCAUAGGCUGCCUGGUCUGCAACUUCCUGGUGUGCCGCAGUGGGCGGGAACACCUAGCUGAGGCAAUUCAAUCAGACUGUGACUGACAGGGAAGGAAGCUGGGCCUUUUAUAUAUGUUUGCAUAUAUAAGGAACAAAGAAUAUGGGAAGAGGCAGCAACAAGAAAGGGUCCUCGGCCCCCAAUCCUGAGAAAGAGGCAACAGCAGACACAGCACCAAUAGACAUAAAGCGCUAUCUCAAGAGCCUCAUAGACAAGUUCAGUAAUGAAGUUAUUAAUGACCUGAAGCUAGACAUAAGAAGAAUAGUUAGAGAAAUGCUAAGCACCACCCAAGAAAAAACAGAUGGUGGAAUGGAAGAACAGAAAAAGAGGGGAGAAUUGUUUAAUGGAGAAAAUAGAGAAAGCAUAGAAUACGUGAAGCAGGUUCAGAGAGAUUACCAAGAAACUAAAAAGUCUAUCGAAAACUGGCAUAACAGCUUGAAAGAAACUAAGGACAGAUUAUCUGAACUGGAGGGCAGAUUUGUAAUAUGGGAGAAUGAAAUGAAAAACUUCUUAAAAAUAACAAAGAAACAAACAGCAAUAAUACAAAGACUAGAAGAUGAUAAGAGGGUCUAUAACUUAAGAAUUAAAAACAUAAAAGAAGAAGUAGGGACACAAACAAAUGAACUACAAAAGCUACUCACAGAAAUAAUCCAGGAGAAUUUUCCUAAUUUAGCAAAAGGUAAAGAUACUCAGUUGCAUGAAGCAUACAGGACCCCAGCCACCUACAACCCAAACAGAGCAACACCCAGGCAUAUAAUAAUUAAAAUUCCAGAAAUCCAAUACAAGAACAGAAUACUAAAAGCCGUCAGAGACAAGAAACAGAUCACUUACAAGGGAACACCCAUCAGAAUUACAGCAGACUUCUCGGCACAAACCAUCAAAUCACAAAGAGUGUGGGGGGAAAUAAUUCAAGCUUUGAAAGAUAAUAAUCUCCAGCCAAGAUUGAUAUAUCCUGCAUAACUAUCUCUGGAAGUUGAUGGAAAAACAAGGUGCUUCCAGGAUACAGAGGAACUAGGGGAAUCUGCAACCACCAAUUCAACUCUACAGAGAAUACUGCAAGAUAUUCUAAAAAAGAAAAAUAUGAAGAAUCCAGAAGUAGCGGCAGAGAGGCCACAAUGAAUGGAACAGAAAACAAACUGACAACUAAUGACAGAAAAAGAUCUCAGCAGAAAUGAGGCAGAGAACAUUGGAUGAUAGGAACAGCUAUUUUGGAGAAAAUGACAUCUUAAGAGGUAAUACUGAUUUAGUAUCAUCUUGUUUUGAAGUCUCAUCAAGCUUUUGUUCUUCUGUCUCCAUUGGUCUAAACAGGUGGUAUCUUAUUGGAUUUUAUUAUAUAUGAUAGUAUAAGCAAAACCUUUUAUAGACAAGGAGAUUAUACAGAAACCAUUGUUCAUUUUCUGUUAGUCGAUUCUAAAUACACUGUAAUACUGUCAUUCUCUUAAAUGGUUUUACAUUGUUUUGAUAUAUUUGAUGCUACAGUAUACGAAGUUAUACUCAAAGAUUUCAAGGAAAGAGACAAUAUGGUAACUACUUUUAUGUCGGGAUAAUCUUGUGGUGAAACACUAUUUUGCUUAAGUGGUUAUGUUUUGAUCUGCAAUGAUUUGCUGUUAUGCCCUCUUUUAUCUCAAUCUCCACUUUAUUAUUUACUUUUUUAUCCUUUUAAUUAAGGGAAAAAUAAAUUUAAAAAUAGCAGGAUAUAUUAUAGUAACCCACUUUGACUUUCCAUUAUCUUGAUUUAAAGCCCUGUAUUGCUCUCACCAUCUUGUUUUGACUGAUGUUCCUCUAUUCUGUUUUGCUUGAUAGUACUAGGUUCGAAAGUUUAGGCAACAGCUGUGAAGAUAGUGGGAUUCAUUAUGACACCCAUUCUGGUUGACUAUUAUCUACUUUUGAAGACCUAUAAUGUCUUCAAUGUUUUGGUUUUGUUGGUUUUGUUCUUUACUGUUUGUUCAAUUUUAUUAUUACUCCAUGAUAUAGGCAAUUCUAUUAGAGAUAGCGGGAGGCAUUAUGGUAACCAUUGUUGAUCACCUAGCAUUAUGCUUUUACAGUAUCUAUUACGUCCACCCUUUUGAUUUGACUGACUGUUCUGUUAUGUCACAUUUGGUUCUACUCUCUUUCAAAAAAGUAAUAAGAACUGUGGGAGUAACAAAACCCAAAA